rnacentral:rRNA from 1 species
CCUACGGGUGGCAGCAGUGAGGAAUAUUGGUCAAUGGGCGCUAGCCUGAACCAGCCAAGUCGCGUGCAGGAAGACGGCUCUAUGAGUUGUAAACUUCUUUUGUACGAGGGUAAAGGCAGCUACGUGUAUCUGUCUGAAAGUAUCGUAUGAAUAAGGAUCGGCUAACUCCGUGCCAGCAGCCGCGGUAAUACGGAGGAUUCGAGCGUUAUCCGGAUUUAUUGGGUUUAAAGGGUGCGUAGGCGGUCGGGUAAGUUAGUGGUGAAAUCUCGAGGCUCAACCUCGGAAUUGCCUCUGAUACUGUCCGGCUAGAGAGUAGUAGCGGUAGGCGGAAUGCAUGGUGUAGCGGUGAAAUGCUUAGAGAUCAUGCAGAACUCCGAUUGCGAAGGCAGCUUACCAGGCUACUACUGACGUUGAGGCACGAAAGCGUGGGGAGCAAACAGGAUUAGAUACCCGAGUAGUC